GACGAACGCUGGCGGCGUGCUUAACACAUGCAAGUCGAACGGAAAGGCCCUGCUUUUGUGGGGUGCUCGAGUGGCGAACGGGUGAGUAACACGUGAGUAACCUGCCCUUGACUUUGGGAUAACUUCAGGAAACUGGGGCUAAUACCGGAUAGGAGCCCCUGCUGCAUGGUGGGGGUUGGAAAGUUUCGGCGGUUGGGGAUGGACUCGCGGCUUAUCAGCUUGUUGGUGGGGUAGUGGCUUACCAAGGCUUUGACGGGUAGCCGGCCUGAGAGGGUGACCGGCCACACUGGGACUGAGAUACGGCACAGACUCCUACGGGAGGCAGCAGUGGGGAAUAUUGCACAAUGGGCGGAAGCCUGAUGCAGCAACGCCGCGUGCGGGAUAACGGCCUUCGGGUUGUAAACCGCUUUCGCCUGUGACGAAGCGUGAGUGACGGUAAUGGGUAAAGAAGCACCGGCUAACUACGUG
rnacentral:rRNA from 1 species